rnacentral:lncRNA from 1 species
UACAUACCUUUACAUUGUUCGUCGAUUGUUCUGCGAUAUUCAGUAAUAUAGAUGGCUUUGCACUUUCACACAAUCUCAGAAAUUACAUCUAAAUCAAUGCACUGGAACUUAAAAGUUCGUGUUAUUCGAUUGUGGAUAGUUCCUGAUAAAUUCAAAUCAGAAAUACCUUACUCUUUGGAGAUGAUUUUACAGGAUGAAAAGGUACUACUCAUACAAAUAGUUUUUAUAUACUUGAAAACAAUUAUCAUAAAACAAUAUUUUGUUUUAUUACAGGGUGAUCGUAUUCAUGCAUCACUUGGAAAGACAGUAAUUAAGCAUUUCGGAGAAAUUCUAUAUGAACUUGGUGUUUUUCGGAUGAAUUACUUUGUGAUUGCCCCAAACAUCAUGAAAUUUUAAGACAACAACACACAAACACAAGCUUAACUUCACUGUGACUACAAAUGUUAAGGAAAUUCAAGAUCCUUCUUUUCAUAUGGAUAUAUUCAAUAUCCGCACCUUUGACAAAUUGACAAUUCAUCACAAUGUUGAUGAGACUGAGUCUUUUGGGUAAUAAUGAUAUGUUAUUCCAUUCAUUAGAUUUUAAAUUUACAAUAUAUUAAUAAUGUAUUUUAUUGCAGAUGUUGUUGGACAUGUUGCUUCAUAUCAACCAAUUCAACAGAUAAAGCAAGGAGAUGACAAUAAUUAUUUCAUCAAUAUUGUUCUAGAAGAUGAUAAGUAAUUAUUUGAAAUUUAGUUUAUUAUUAUAUAUAUUCAUUUAUCAUUUAUAUAUUAAAAUGUAAUUAAAUUUCAUUAAUACAGUAAAAAUAGACUGUCAACAACAUUAUGGGGUGAACUUGCGGACCAAAUACAAUCACAUUUGACGGGAUCUGCAGAUGAACCUUUGAUUGUGGUUUGUCAAUUAAUGAAGGCUCACAAAUUUAGAGGUUUACACAUUGUAAUUUCAGUAACACAAUUUUAAAAUACAAAUUUAUUUUGUAUAAAUAUUUUGACAUUGUAUAAUAUCAAUCAUCAGAAAACUACUAAGUACGUAGUUGUUGGUAUCAAACCAAAAUCUGGAUUAAUCCUAAUCUACCUCAGCCUACUGAAUUCAAAGACAGGUUAGAAAAUUAUACUAUGUCUUAAGAGAGGAAUCCUCUCUAGGUGCUUAGUUUAAUUUACAUCUUAUUGUAUUGGGUGAAGUAGACUAACCUUAGUAGGUAGGUUUACUUCUACCCACCAUAGGAUUGGAGGUAAGGUACUUGCCCCCCUCCAUGUAUUUUUGAAUUUCAUAUAUGAUAAGGCCUGGGGGUGUUGCUCAGCCCCUGAACCCCUCAAGGGUCGUUCUAAUAAAAAAUAAAAAAAUAAAAAAAAAGAUAGAGGCUCCAACUGUCUGUUAUGGAUGGCACUGUAUUUAUUUCAAUAUUGCUUUGGAAUAAAGAGACUAUACAACUACUUGGUAAAACUGCAAAAGAGUUGAAAGAAGGAUUACUUGAAGAUGACGAAAGUUCUUAUCCAACAGAGAUUGGUGAUUUAAUGGAGAAGAAAUUUAUGUUUAAGAUUUUGAUCAAGGACUCAAACAUUAACAAAAAAGAUAAUGUCUAUAAAAAUGUUAAUUUCACCUAUGAUGAUGCUCUUUUAAAAGAAUAUUGUCAUCCUGAUCUUCAGGACAGUCUUAAUGUAAGUGUUUAAACACCAACAUAUUUGUUUACAUUAUACAUACAAAUUUUUAAAUUUUGUAUAAAUUGUUAAUUAUGUUUAUAAUGUUCAAACAAAAAUCACUUUUUGAAUGUGAGCAAAGCUAUGAUGAAGAUAAACUCUUUGAGUUAUUCUAACUUUAGAUAAGUUACAUCUUCUAUAUUACUAAUCAGAUUGAAAACACUUGAAGUACUUAUAAUCUUUAUGUUAUUUUAAUUUUAGACUCCAAACAAGAGCAGCAUUUCAGAGUGUCGUACAUUAAUUACUGAAGAUGUGAUUGAUUUAACUACAAAGAUAUCUACCAAGAGUAGCAAAGCUGCUAGAAAAUCUACAAGGCAUGAAAUUAAAGACGAUUUGAAUGUCAAACAACCCAGCAACAAAAUUCGCAAAGUGAUUAAGAAGGAAAAGAAUACCUAAAGCUAUCUUCCAAAUUUGAAGUUAUUGGAAGAUUAUGUUUUAAUUUAGGUUGUAUUAAGUUUAGUUUAUUAUUUUAAUAUAUUUAUGUUUUAAUAAGGUAGUUGGAUGAUCUAUGUAGUUUAUUAUAUAAAUUCAAGCUAUUAAGUUGUCUUCUUUAUUUAUAUCUCUCUCUCUCAAUCUAUAUCUAUCUAUCAUUCUCUCUCUCUCUCACUCUAUAUAUAUAUAUAUGUGUGUUUGUGGGGUUGUUUUUAAUUUAUGUUGUUAAUCCUCUACAUGUUGUCUUAAUGUGUAUUUUAUAUUCUCUGACUUAUAGUUUUACAUUCAUUAGUAACAGAAGGAUCAUUAAAGUUAACUUUACUGCAUACAAAAUCUAAACAACACACUAUUAGCUGAUUUUUACAAAUACGUUAGUGCAAUUUAAGAGACAUACCUUAUUCCCAUAUGUUAAAAAACAUGCAACACUUUGGUGAACAAUAUGGUGGAUCCACAUCAAUUUCUGAGCUGAUAUAUUCAGAAUAGGAAUCAGAUAUUCUAAAGCUCCAAGCAAUUCAUCUUCAUUCUUCCAAUAUAUAUGUUCAAAGGUAGUCAUAAUGAACAAUGAUUUAUAAUAAUUCUAUCAAAUUUGCUGAAGGAGUACCUUGCUUUAUAUAACAUGUUGAAUCUUCAUUUAUAUUCACAAUGCUACAGCCCCAAAGUUGCACCAAAACAGCAGCAGAAAAGAUCCAAAGCUGCA